GCUCACAUUUGCAGACAUAAAAAAGUGUAGCACAUGCUCACAUCACUCUCUAAACUUAAAUUAUUCAAUAAUCUAAAGAUUCUCUAUUUCUAAAAAAAAAAAUAUAAAAAAAACAUAUAAAGAUGGUCCUAGAAGACCUUAUACAGAAGGCCAUAAGUUUAGAAAUACUUCCCAAUUUAAGAUUCUAAACUCUAAUUCUAAGACUUCUAAAUUUAAAAUCUAAAACUAAAACUAAUUUCGAUAAACAACUUCAUUCAACACCUUCUCUUUUACUGUGUCCUUGCUUCUCGUUCUACUUCUGAUUCUGCUCUGUUCUGUAUUGAAUUGUUCUUCUAAUGUCAGAGUUCUUAAAAAAACUAUAAAAAAAAAAUAAACUCCUUAGGAACAUAUUUAAACAUUAUUUAACACUGUACAGGAAUUUAACAGACUAUAUUAUACCAAUAACUAAAUUAUAACUAGGAGCUUCAAUAAAGGAACAACUACUCGUGCAUUUAUCCAAUCCACCAAUCCUUUGGCAGCAGUGUGAGAAGAUUGCGUGAUGAAGUCACAUGUCCAAGAAGCCAGAGGUCCGAUUCGGGCAAUGAAGAUGUUGCUCUUUAAUCAAGACACCCGCCACAAUUAUGGCUUAAUUACCUUUAUCAUCACCAAUCAUUUAGGAUCCACCUUGAGCAGCAUUUUUUUUAUGUAAAGGUACAGAAGAUCAAUAGGGGCACAAGCACUCAGGUGAGGUCAUGAGGUGACCUUCAGGAGAUAAAAUCAAAGGACAAACCUGGGAGAUAAAAUCAAAUGGAGAUAAAAAUCUUUAAUCACCUCACCAUCAUCCUACCUUAAACACACUGUCACACAGCUGAGAGAAGGAUGGAGAGAACAGACAAUACAUGUCACCACCUCUGUCACCACAUGCAGUACUGUCAGACUGUCUGACUGAUAUUUGAUAAAAUGCUUUACAUUACUGUACGCUUUGUGGUUGUAGAUAUACACAUGCAUGGACCGACAUGGAUGUAGGUAUGCUUUAUCUGAAACCGACCCUCAU